rnacentral:sRNA from 1 species
UCAAAGGUUACAGAAGAUGAAAAACUGUAACUGAGAUUAAAAUGGGAACAUUUGUAAAAAAGAAUAAACUGAAUAAUAGUUCCAAGUGGUUUACAUGAGGACAAAAAACUAGACCGUAGUUUAAAGCUA